GUGAGUAAUGCUUAGGAAUCUGCCUAUUAUUGGGGGACAACGUUCCGAAAGGAGCGCUAAUACCGCAUACGUCCUACGGGAGAAAGCAGGGGACCUUUGGGCCUUGCGCUAAUAGAUGAGCCUAAGUCGGAUUAGCUAGUUGGUAGGGUAAAGGCCUACCAAGGCGACGAUCUGUAGCGGGUCUGAGAGGAUGAUCCGCCACACUGGGACUGAGACACGGCCCAGACUCCUACGGGAGGCAGCAGUGGGGAAUAUUGGACAAUGGGGGGAACCCUGAUCCAGCCAUGCCGCGUGUGUGAAGAAGGCCUUUUGGUUGUAAAGCACUUUAAGCGAGGAGGAGGCUACCUAGAUUAAUACUUUAGGAUAGUGGACGUUACUCGCAGAAUAAGCACCGGCUAACUCUGUGCCAGCAGCCGCGGUAAUACAGAGGGUGCGAGCGUUAAUCGGAUUUACUGGGCGUAAAGCGUGCGUAGGCGGCCUAUUAAGUCAAAUGUGAAAUCCCCGAGCUUAACUUGGGAAUUGCAUUCGAUACUGGUUGGCUAGAGUAUGGGAGAGGAUGGUAGAAUUCCAGGUGUAGCGGUGAAAUGCGUAGAGAUCUGGAGGAAUACCGAUGGCGAAGGCAGCCAUCUGGCCUAAUACUGACGCUGACGUACGAAGCAUGGGGAGCAAACAGGAUUAGAU
rnacentral:rRNA from 1 species